UACGGGGGGAGCAAGCGUUGUUCGGAUUUACUGGGCGUAAAGGGCGCGUAGGCGGCCAGCGCAAGUCAGUUGUGAAAUCUCCGGGCUUAACUCGGAACGGUCAACUGAUACUGCGCGGCUAGAGUGCGGAAGAGGCGAGUGGAAUUCCUGGUGUAGCGGUGAAAUGCGCAGAUAUCAGGAGGAACACCAAUGCGAAGGCAGCUCGCUGGGACGUUACUGACGCUGAGACGCGAAAGCGUGGGGAGCAAACAGG
rnacentral:rRNA from 1 species